ensembl:miRNA predicted gene, 25998
CAGGGCCUGUCCAGGAGCUCCCUGGUCCUGAACCUGGUCCUGAUCCUGGUCCU